rnacentral:rRNA from 1 species
UUUUCGUAGGUGAACCUGCGGAAGGAUCAUUACCGAUUUUAGCGGAUCUGAUCUCUUUGGUCAUGGUCUCGCGUAAACUUGUAUUUAAAACCCCACUCUUAUAAAUUAAAAUCCAUUUAUAAUUAUAGUAAAUUAAGAUCACUUUCAACAACGGGUCUCUUGGCUCUCGCAUCGAUGAAGAACGUAGCGAAGUGCGAUAAGUAAUGUGAAUUGCAGAAUUCCGUGAAUCAUCGAAUUUUUGAACGCAAAUUGCACUUCCUGGUAACCCGGGGAGUAUGCCUGUUUGAGGGUCAGUAUUAAUAAAAAUCGGCGUGUUGCUCUUUUGUGACGUUCCGGAGUUUGGGUCAUCUUAUAACAGGUGUUUUAAGAGGCUUAAAAUUGAUACCUUUUUUGUGCAUUUUUAGACGUACAUAAAUUCUAUUUAUUCGUCUAUCUUAAUGCCAAAAUAUAUUAGAUGCGACCAUAUCGUGUGGUACCGUGUCUAUAAAUUUUCAUGAUUUGACCUCAAAUCAGGUAAGAAUACCCGCUGAACUUAA